UACGGAGGGAGCUAGCGUUGUUCGGAAUUACUGGGCGUAAAGCGCACGUAGGCGGCUUUUUAAGUCAGGGGUGAAAGCCCAGGGCUCAACCCUGGAAGUGCACUCGAUACUGCGAGGCUAGAGUCCCGGAGAGGAGUGGUGGGAACUCUCGGUGUAGAGGUGAAAUUCGUAGAUAUCGAGAAGAACACCGGUGGCGAAGGCGGCCAUCUGGACGGUGACUGGACGCUGAGACGCGAAAGCGUGGGGAGCAAACAGG
rnacentral:rRNA from 1 species